rnacentral:rRNA from 1 species
GACGAACGCUGGCGGCGUGCUUAACACAUGCAAGUCGAACGGAAAGGCCCUGCUUUUGUGGGGUGCUCGAGUGGCGAACGGGUGAGUAACACGUGAGCAACCUGCCCUUGACUUUGGGAUAACUUCAGGAAACUGGGGCUAAUACCGGAUAGGAGCUCCUGCUGCAUGGUGGGGGUUGGUAAGUUACGGCGGUUGGGGAUGGACUCGCGGCUUAUCAGCUUGUUGGUGGAGUAGUGGCUUACCAAGUCUUUGACGGGUAGCCGGCCUGAGAGGGUGACCGGCGACAAUAGGACUAAGAGACGGACCAGACGCCUAUGGGAGGCAGCAGUGGGGAGUAUUGCACAAUGAGCGGAAGCCUGAUGCAGCGGCGCCGCGUGCGGAAAGACGGCCUUCGGGUUGUGAACCGCUUUGGCCUGUGACGAAGAGUGAGUGACGGUAAUGGGUAAAGAAGCACCGGCUAACUACGUG